AUUGAACGCUGGCGGCAUGCCUUACACAUGCAAGUCGAACGGCAGCACGGGGGCAACCCUGGUGGCGAGUGGCGAACGGGUGAGUAACAUAUCGGAACGUGCCCUGGAGUGGGGGAUAACUAGUCGAAAGACUAGCUAAUACCGCAUACGAUCUACGGAUGAAAGUGGGGGAUCGCAAGACCUCAUGCUCGUGGAGCGGCCGAUAUCUGAUUAGCAGUUGGUGGGGUAAAGGCCUACCAAGGCAUCGAUCAGUAGCUGGUCUGAGAGGACGACCAGCCACACUGGGACUGAGACACGGCCCAGACUCCUACGGGAGGCAGCAGUGGGGAAUUUUGGACAAUGGGCGCAAGCCUGAUCCAGCAAUGCCGCGUGAGUGAAGAAGGCCUGGUU
rnacentral:rRNA from 1 species